rnacentral:rRNA from 1 species
AUUGAACGCUGGCGGCAUGCUUUACACAUGCAAGUCGGACGAGUGGCGAACGGGUGAGUAAUAUAUUGGAACGUACCGAGUAAUGGGGGAUAACCAAUCGAAAGAUUGGCUAAUACCGCAUAUUAUUCUAGCGGCCAAUAUCUGAUUAUCUAGUUGGGGGGGUAAAGGCCUACCAGGGCGACGAUCAGUAGCGGGUCUGAGAGGCUGAUCGGCCACACUGGGACUGAGACACGGCCCAGACUCCUACGGGAGGCAGCAGUGGUGAAUUUUGGGCAAUGGGCGAAAGCCUGACCGAGCAAUGCCGCGUGUGUGAAGAAGGCCUUCGGGUUGUAAAGGACUGUUGUUAGGGAAGCGGGACCUAAAGAAUAAGCACCGGCUAACUACGUGCCAGCAGCCGCGGUAAUUC